rnacentral:lncRNA from 1 species
GUUGGAACAACCACACAGACCAAGUUCACACAGACCGAGCAUCAAAAAACAACAAGAGCAGUUUCGAGAGCCGAGUGAUGACGUUGGUAACUUAACCUUGUUGGAACAACCUCAUAGACCAAAUGUCAAUAAACAACAAGAGCAGUUUCAAGAGCCGAAAGAUGAAGUUGGUAACUUGACCUUGUUGGAACAACCACACAGACCAAGUGUCAAUAAACAACAAGAGCUGUUUCAAGAGCCGACUGAUGAAGGCGUUAAAUUGACCUUGUUGGAACAACCACACAGACCAAGUGGCAAAGAAGAAGAAGAAGAGCAGUUUGGAGAUGCGAG